GUCCAAGGUUUUUAUAGUUCCUCUCUCGAAUUAGUGCCCGCAGACUCUACAGCUAUGAACAUGCAAUUAGUCUUUGUUUGUGCACAAAAGGGAGCUUGACCCUUGCCCGUCUUUGAUUGGCAUGUACAACUCUUGUAGCUACUUACCUAAGGCCCUCUCCGAGGAGCACAGCGUCUUGUUCCUGCACCUGCCUUCAGCUUUUCGCUUUUGUGACUUGUUUCCCAUAAUAUUCGGCCCAACAUGCGGCAAGGUUGCAGGGAUGAAGGCGUCAUGCAGGCACAUCACCCACACCUUCUGCCUGACAUUGAGCACAAAUAUUUGGAACUGUGGCAAAUCAUCUGCUGAUACUACUUGGACAUGAAAGCAUGUGAAAAAAAUCAGCAUUGUGUCUACAUGAGGGUCUCCACCUCCAUUUUAGGGCAUUCUCCAAAAAGGGGCAGCAAGAUGUUGGCC
rnacentral:lncRNA from 1 species